rnacentral:rRNA from 1 species
CUCCAACACUAUCCAAAUUCUGAAUAUAAGUCGUCUGAACACUAUGAUAAUAGUUAAAACUUUCAACAACGGAUCUCUUGGUUCUGGCAUCGAUGAAGAACGCAGCGAAAUGCGAUAAGUAAUGUGAAUUGCAGAAUUCAGUGAAUCAUCGAAUUUUUGAACGCAUAUUGCGCCCUCUGGUAUUCCGGAGGGCAUGCCUGUUCGAGCGUCAUUUGUACCCUCAAGCCUAGCUUGGUAUUGGGCCUCUGUCCAUUGGAUGGGCCUUAAAAUCAGUGGUGAUUGCCCUUACGGCUUCAAGUACAGUAGAAAUAUCAACUUGUCGAGCCCAGGGGUCAUUUAACCAACAACCUCCAUAACUUUUCUAAAGUUGACCUCGGAUCAGGUAGGGAUACCCGCUGAACUUAAGCAUAUCAAUA